rnacentral:rRNA from 1 species
CUCCUACGGCGAGAGCAGCAGAUGACGAAUAUUGGUCAAUGGACGGAAGUCUGAACCAGCCAUGCCUCCUGCCUGAUGAAUGUGCUAUGCAUUGUAAACUGCUUUUGUACGAGGGUAAACCCAGAUCGCGUAUCUGCUUGAAAGUAUCGUACCAAUAAGGAUCCGCUAACUCCGUGCCAGCAUCCGCGGGUAAUACGGAGGAUCCGAGCGUUAUCCGGAUUUAUUGGGUUUAAAGGGUGCGUAGGCUGUUUUUUAAGUUAGAGGUGAAAGCUCGACGCUCAACGUCCAAAUUGCCUCUGAUACUGAUAGAUUAGAGUGUAGUUGCGGAAGGCGGAAUGUGUGGUGUAGCGGUGAAAUGCUUAGAUAUCACACAGAACACCGAUUGCGAAGGCAGCUUUCCAAGCUAUUACUGACGCUGAGGCACGAAAGCGUGGGGAGCGAACAGGAUUAGAUACCCUGGUAGUCCACGCAGUAAACGAUGAUAACUCGUUGCCGGCGAUACACAGUCGGUGACUUAGCGAAAGCGUUAAGUUAUCCACCUGGGGAGUACGUUCGCAAGAAUGAAACUCAAAGGAAUUGACGGGGGCCCGCACAAGCGGAGGAACAUGUGGUUUAAUUCGAUGAUACGCGAGGAACCUUACCCGGGCUUGAAAGUUAGCGAUGGAUCGAGAAAUCGGUCUUCCCUACGGGGCGCGAAACUAGGUGCUGCAUGGUUGUCGUCAGCUCGUGCCGUGAGGUGUCGGGUUAAGUCCCAUAACGAGCGCAACCCCUACCGUUAGUUGCCAUCAGGUCAAGCUGGGCACUCUAGCGGGACUGCCGGUGUAAGCCGAGAGGAAGGUGGGGAUGACGUCAAAUCAGCACGGCCCUUACGUCCGGGGCGACACACGUGUUACAAUGGCCGGUACAGAGGGUAGCUACCUGGUGACAGGAUGCCAAUCUCGAAAGCCGGUCUCAGUUCGGAUUGGAGGCUGAAACUCGCCUCCAUGAAGUUGGAUUCGCUAGUAAUCGCGCAUCAGCCAUGGCGCGGUGAAUACGUUCCCGGGCCUUGUAAAAACCGCA